rnacentral:rRNA from 1 species
GAUGAACGCUGGCGGCGUGCCUAAUACAUGCAAGUCGAGCGAACAGACCUGGUUCUUGCUCCUCUUUCCUUAUCGGCGGACGGGUGAGUAACACGUAGAUAAUCUACCUUUUACACUGAACUUACUUCUGAAAACCGGAGACUAUGCCUGAUAAUCUAUUGAACCGCAUGGUUCAAUAGUUAAUGACGGUUUUUCUUUCACUUAUUGAUGGUUCGGCGCCGCAUUAUCUAGUUGUUAAGGUAACGGCUUACUAAGGCGACGACGCGUAGCCGACCUGAGAGGGUGAUCGGCCACACUGGAACUGAGACACGGUCCAGACUCCUACGGGAGGCAGCAGUAGGGAAUCUUCCGCAAUGGGCGAAAGCCUGACGGAGAAACGCCGCGUGAGUGAUGAAGGUCUUCGGAUCGUAAAACUCUGUUAUUAGGGAAGAACAAAUGUGUAAGUAACUAUGCACGUCUUGACGGUACCUAAUCAGAAAGCCACGGCUAACUACGUG